CCUGAGAAACCCAAAAGAUCGAAUGGGGAGAUUCAUCGUCAGCUCAUUCUGUAUAUAUACGAGUUAUGAUAUGGGUUACUACUUGUAGUAUCGCCUGUACAUUCUUGUGUGUUUUAUUGCAGGAUGUUGUCGGCGUGCACCUUCUCCCCUAGUAGGACGUCGCGACCCGUUGAGUGUCGGUCUACGGCCCGAGUGGUAGCCUUUAAUUCUUGUAAUUAAAGACCCUUGGUGUUUCCUGGCUGACUGCUCGGCGGUAUUCGUACGAUAUUAAGCCGCAUUUAUGCGUUCAUAUCCGUCGCAAGCCCGGUUCAUUUGUAGUAGUGCGGACUUAGUGCCGUCGCGACAAUGGAUCAGCUGUUGGUUGUACGGUAUUCUAGAACUGGCUUAUAAUAUAUAUAUCGGUCUGCGAUGCUACUGCUUUGGGUACUUUCAGGACCCGUCUUGAAACACGGACCAAGGAGUCUAACAUGUACGCGAGUCAUUGGGAUUUUUAAAUAAAUUAAACCUAAAGGCGUAAUGAAAGUAAARRUCGUUCUUGUAACGAUUGAGGGAGGAUGAGCUGUAUCAAGAUACAGUUUCGCACUCCCAGGGCGUCUCAUUCUUAUUGCAAGAAGAGGCGCACCUAG
rnacentral:rRNA from 1 species